rnacentral:lncRNA from 1 species
UGAACAUUACAUUUAUUAUAUGGUCAGUUAGAAUACAUCAGCGAUUGUAGUUGAUUACACAUCCAUUUAGGCUGGACUUUUUGCAUGAUAUCUGGCAAAAAAAAAAUACUGAUUUAGCAACAACCCCUUUACCUAGUCUUUGAGGCUCAAACUAAACAGCAACUAAUAGUCAAACAACAUAAUUAAUUGCAUGAAACUUUGAUUUUUACCUAGCUAUAUUUCAGUUUAAUGAACUUAUUUUGGUCUACAAGUUUUCUGAUGAUUUCAUAUUGGAACAAACAUAGCAAAAACCUAAAAUGAAAAUUCCUAAGAAGUUCAACUCCCAAAAUUUACAUCUAAGCAUCAAGUAACAAAAUAUAUGCAAAACAACUAAAAAAAAGGGUAGCAGGAUAAGAAAAGAAUGCUAGAAAAACUAACCUCUACGUAUAGAGGAGCAACUAACGGCAGAACUGAAGCACAGCUAAAAUUCCCAAAACAAAAUGAUGCUGCAAAAGUUAUUGGCGUUUAAGAUAUGAGUUCAAAGUUUUACAAAAAGGUAAUAAAAUUUUAAAGUUGUUUUAAAAGAAAAUGUUGACAUUGGUACUCUUGAGAACAUAUAAUGUUAGUUU